UAGCUAGUUGGUGGGGUAAGGGCCUACCAAGGCGACGAUCGGUAGCUGGUCUGAGAGGAUGACCAGCCACACUGGAACUGAGACACGGUCCAGACUCCUACGGGAGGCAGCAGUGGGGAAUAUUGGACAAUGGGGGCAACCCUGAUCCAGCAAUGCCGCGUGUGUGAAGAAGGCCUGAGGGUUGUAAAGCACUUUCAGUGGGGAGGAGGGUUGAUAGGUUAAGAGCUAAUUAACUGGACGUUACCCACAGAAGAAGCACCGGCUAACUCCGUGCCAGCAGCCGCGGUAAUACGGAGGGUGCGAGCGUUAAUCGGAAUUACUGGGCGUAAAGGGUGCGUAGGUGGUUGAUUAAGUUAUCUGUGAAAUUCCUGGGCUUAACCUGGGACGGUCAGAUAAUACUGGUUGACUCGAGUAUGGGAGAGGGUAGUGGAAUUUCCGGUGUAGCGGUGAAAUGCGUAGAGAUCGGAAGGAACACCAGUGGCGAAGGCGGCUACCUGGCCUAAUACUGACACUGAGGCACGAAAGCGUGGGGAGCAAACAGGAUUAGAUACCCUGGUAGUCCACGCUGUAAACGAUGUCAACUAGCUGUUGGUUAUAUGAAGAUAAUUAGUGGCGC
rnacentral:rRNA from 1 species